UCCAGUAAAAAUUCUCCUUGUUUUUUAUGUGGUGGUUUUAAAUACUUCAGUUAGUACGUGUUCAAAUUCCCCUGGGUGACCACAUUAUGGGGGGGAGGGGUAAGUUCAUGCACUCCAGUAGGAAGAACUGGUGAGCUUCUGUCAGCCGAAUAUUCGCAGAUCUAAAGAGGAUGAUUCUAACAAUUUCCUGCACCAAGACCUCACAGUGUGAUCCGGAGCUCUACCAGUACCAGAUGAAGAAACUGAGGUACUGACAGGACUGAGUCUCACAGUGAGUAAGCGAUGGAACUAGGAUGAGGCUCUCUAGCACAGGUGUUACAUUGUUAAAGAAACAAAUACAGCAUCGAUAAGAGUCACAGAGCUUCCCAACGGCUGAGGUCAAGGCUGAAGUCAAAGGCACUAAGUUAAUACUGGAUUAAGAUGUUAUCACAGUUUCUUUAGAAGAAAUUCAGUCCCGUGAACCAUUGGAACAAAAACAGUUUCCCAAGAGGACCUUAACCCUGGAAAGAUGUCAUCAGCUAACAUUCGUUCAUACUGGAGUAUGGUGGGUCCUAAUCCAACCUGGAUGUCGUCCCUAUAAAAGAGAAGAGACACAGGGCCCUAAGAAAUGAAUAUGGGGUUAUAUGAGAAUAGGGAUGUGAAUGAAUGGAGCACGAGGCCUGGGACACUGGAGACUUAGCAGAUUUAAUCUCCCCUCUUGAGGAUAACUACCCUGCAGUAACCUUGCUUAGACCUCAGGAGAACCGCAGCUGGUAAGAACAAUGACAAGGUCAGAGGAAAAUUCUGGGUAUGCUUUAUAGAUGAACUUCCGUAAAAGCAAGACCAGAAAUCUUACACACAACCUGACAAGAGAAAAGAAAACCCCGCGCAUAGUGCUUCCAUAAAAGGCAGGCCUACAAAGAAUCUUAAAAAGAUCUUCCUGCUUCCACCCCUCGUGUCUGAGACCCUGCGAGGCAUCAGCAGAAAGAUUCAUACCAGCCCUGUUCAGUGAGAACACAGAGUCCCGAGCUGAGUUUGGCUCGUGGGCAUCUUUGUAUUUCUCACCUUCCAUGAUGGGAGAAACAGAGAACUAGCUUGCUAAUAAGUUAAAAGCAAAUACAGAGGAAACUCUGAAAAUCUGGAGAAUGCCCCUGUUACAUAUAACUCUCUGACAGAUGAACUACCAAGUAAUAAAGCAAAAAUAUGUGGGAACAAAAGGAAGCAAAGGUAUAAAAUAGAACACUGGAAAAACCUAAUAAUGGGAAGAAAUAAGGCCACCGGAGAGGCUACUAUUAAACCACUAUAUUUUCAAAUAAUAACAAGGCUGAACAUCACCUUCUGAGACUUCAUAAAAUGGGAUUCGGACCUACUGCCUGCUGACAAUUAAAGUCAAAAACAGAAAAGAAGGUGCAAAUCAAUGCCCCAGGGUUGCUCUGGUGGAAAAGUAUUGUAUUCUCUCAGAAGACGACGAAACAGGCUAGAGAGGGAAAUGCACAAGUUCUCUGUGGAUUUUCCAAGAGGUUCUUUCUAGUCCCAUAGGAAAACAGGUGAGCAUGGUAGAUGUAAAGUUGGACAUUCUCAGAUUCUAGAAAAAUAUUGCUGGGACAAGUAGCUAAUUUCUUUCCUCCUUCAUCUGACCAUUUUCCGACAAGCACCUUUACUAGCAAAUAAAGAGUUUACUGUCUUCUCUAAACAAAAUCAGUGAGAUUUACGUUUUCUAUCUGAACUACGAUUGCUUCUCUAUUGUUUCUGUUCACAGGUAUGUCCUUUUAGCAAGUAAAUAAAGACAUUCUUGGGGGUAUAUUAAA